UGGGAACCUUCCCUAUGGUUCGGAAUAGCUCAGGGAAACUUGGGGUAAUACCGGAUAAGCCCUUCGGGGAAAGAUUUAUCGCCAUUGGAUGGGCCCGCGUCGGGUUAGCUAGUUGGUGAGGUAACGGCUCACCAAAGCAACGAUCCGUAGCUGGUCUGAGAGGAUGAUCAGCCACACUGGGACUGAGACACGGCCCAGACUCCUACGGGAGGCAG
rnacentral:rRNA from 1 species